rnacentral:misc_RNA from 1 species
AAGUCGUAACAAGGUUUCCGUAGGUGAACCUGCGGAAGGAUCAUUACCGAGUAAGGGUCUUCUAGGCCCGACCUCCCACCCUUUGUUGUCGAACAAAUUCUGUUGCUUUGGCGGGACCGCUCGACCCUCGGGUCGACUGCCGGGUCUCGUACCGGGUAAGUGCCCGCCAAAGUCCAAUCAUAAACACUUUGUAAACCUUUUGUCUGAGUAAAUUGAUAAUAGAUCAAAA